GAGAGAGGCCCGCCGGCAAUGAAAACUGCUAAUUAUCACCCCCUUGGUUAAACCCCAAGGCUCCCUCG
rnacentral:tRNA from 1 species